rnacentral:rRNA from 1 species
UGGGCUUAAGCGCGCGCAGGCGGCUCUUUAAGUCUGGUGUUUAAUCCCGAGGCUCAACUUCCGGUCUCACUGUAAUCUGGACAGCUUGAAUGCCGAUUAAGAUAGUGGAAUUCCACCUGUAACGGUGAAAUGCCUAAAGAUUUGCAUGAACCCCCGAGUGCAAAGGCACUCUCUGGGCUUUGUCUGACCCUUAAGCCCCAAAACCUGGGGAAUCGACCAGAAUUAAUUCCCCGGUAAUCCCCCCCCCUAACCAAUAAUGCCUCGUGGUUGGCGAUUCACCGCCCUCGUCGUAGCAAAUGCCUUAUUUUAUCCUCCUGGGGAGUACGCCCGCCAGGGUAAAACUCCUCGGAAUUGACGGCGGCCCGCCCAACCGGAGGAGCAUGUGGUUUAAUUCUAUGAUACACGACGAACCUUACCCGGGCUUGAAAGUUACUGACUGAUGCAGAGACACAUCCGUCCUUCCGGACACAAAACUAAGUGCUGCAUGGCUGUCGUCACCUCGUGCCGUGAGGUGUUGUGUUAAGUCCCGCAACGAGCGCAACCCCUAUGUUUAGUUGCCAUCAUGUCAU